AGUGAACGCUGGCGGUAGGCCUAACACAUGCAAGUCGAACGGCAGCACAGUAAGAGCUUGCUCUUACGGGUGGCGAGUGGCGGACGGGUGAGGAAUACAUCGGAAUCUACUUUUUCAUGGGGGAUAACGUAGGGAAACUUACGCUAAUACCGCAUACGACCUACGGGUGAAAGCAGGGGAUCUUCGGACCUUGCGCGAUUGAAUGAGCCGAUGUCGGAUUAGCUAGUUGGCGGGGUAAAGGCCCACCAAGGCGACGAUCCGUAGCUGGUCUGAGAGGAUGAUCGGCCACACUGGAACUGAGACACGGUCCAGACUCCUACGGGAGGCAGCAGUGGGGAAUAUUGGACAAUGGGCGCAAGCCUGAUCCAGCCAUACCGCGUGGGUGAAGAAGGCCUUCGGGUUGUAAAGCCCUUUUGUUGGGAAAGAAAAGCAGCAGGUUAAUACCCCGCUGUUCUGACGGUACCCAAAGAAUAAGCACCGGCUAACUUCGUG
rnacentral:rRNA from 1 species